rnacentral:misc_RNA from 1 species
AAAAUUGAAAUUGUUGACAGGCAAAAACAAGUACAAUUCAUCAACCCAUCUAUCAAUAACUGAACUUGACGUCACCAUGAACAGGCAGAAUGAUUCAAACCCAUUUUCUGAGAAGAGAACGUUUGUCGUGUGUACCGUACUACUAAAAGAAAUCAAACUCGAGAUAAUUAUCAGACGAUUUGGAAUCGGGACCAGGUCUAGCCAUUACAGCUUUUCCACUCGCUGGAGGUGCUGGUGAGGGUAUCCUCUCAAUCUCAACAGGCUUUGGUACUUCUGGUGGCGAAGCGCAACGUAUCAAUGCCCAGUUGACACCUUCAAAGAAGGGAUGUUGCUUGAUCUCAGUUGCCCCUCGUUUGUAAGCUAAUCUAUGUUGUGGUUCCUUGACAAGCAAUCCCCUGAUGAGAUCCCUUGCAGCAAAACUGACAACUGGUGAUUCAGGAAACCGCAAAGGCUGACCAACAACGUUGAACAACGUGGCUCGAUUCCCAGAUCCCUUAAAAGGA